AUGCAGGCACUAGCACGAGCGGCGGGGGGGCUCUGGCCGGCGGCGGCCGCGGCCGCGGGGAGGGGGAACUGCGGGCAGGUGCAGCCGUCCCGGGGGAUCGUGGUGCAGGUGAGGGACGGCAACCUUGAGCGCGCGCUCCAGGUGAUGGAGCGCAAGAUGCGGUCCAGCGGCAUCGAGCGGCUCAUCAAGCGCCGGACGGAGCACCACGUCAAGAACUCCGAGAAGCGCGUGCUCGCGCGCAAAGCGCUCAUGGCGCGCGUACGCUCCCAGGAGCUCGGCAAGAGUCUCCGCGAUAUCCUCAUCAAGAAGAUCAGGGGUCAGUAA
rnacentral:rRNA from 1 species